UUGCCGGCAACCGGCGCACGGGUGAGUAACACGUAUGCAACCUGCCCGUCUCAGGGGGAUAAUCGUCGGAAACGGCGUCUAAUACCCCGUAUGAAGCUGGACGGCGUCGUCUGGUUUUGAAAGAAUAUCGGAGACGGAUGGGCAUGCGGCGCAUUAGCUAGUUGGCGGGGUAACGGCCCACCAAGGCGACGAUGCGUAGGGGUUCUGAGAGGAAGGUCCCCCACACUGGUACUGAGACACGGACCAGACUCCUACGGGAGGCAGCAG
rnacentral:rRNA from 1 species